GAUGAACGCUGGCGGCGUGCCUAAUACAUGCAAGUCGAGCGAACAGACGAGGAGCUUGCUCCUCUGACGUUAGCGGCGGACGGGUGAGUAACACGUGGAUAACCUACCUAUAAGACUGGGAUAACUUCGGGAAACCGGAGCUAAUACCGGAUAAUAUAUUGAACCGCAAGGUUCAAUAGUGAAAGACGGUUUUGCUGACACUUAUAGAUGGAUCCGCGCCGCAUUAGCUAGUUGGUAAGGUAACGGCUUACCAAGGCAACGAUGCGUAGCCGACCUGAGAGGGUGUUCCUCCCCUCUGCAACUGAGACACGGUCCAGGCUCCUACGGGAGGCAGCAGUUGGGAAUCUUCCGCAGUGGGCGAAAUCCUGACGGGUCACCGCCGCGUGAGUGAUGAAGGUCUUCGGAUCGUAAAACUCUGUUAUUCGGGAAGAACAAAUGUGUAAGUAGCUAUGCCCGUCUUGGCGGUACCUAUUCAGAAGGCCUCGGCUACUACGUG
rnacentral:rRNA from 1 species